rnacentral:rRNA from 1 species
ACAACGAAGAGUUUGAUCCUGGCUCAGGAUGAACGCUAGCGACAGGCUUAACACAUGCAAGUCGAGGGGCAGCGGGGGUAGCAAUACCCGCCGGCGACCGGCGCACGGGUGAGUAACGCGUAUGCAACUUACCUAUCAGAGGGGGAUAACCCGGCGAAAGUCGGACUAAUACCGCAUGAAGCAGGGGCCCCGCAUGGGGAUAUUUGCUAAAGAUUCAUCGCUGAUAGAUAGGCAUGCGUUCCAUUAGGCAGUUGGCGGGGUAACGGCCCACCAAACCGACGAUGGAUAGGGGUUCUGAGAGGAAGGUCCCCCACAUUGGUACUGAGACACGGACCAAACUCCUACGGGAGGCAGCAGUGAGGAAUAUUGGUCAAUGGCCGAGAGGCUGAACCAGCCAAGUCGCGUGAGGGAUGAAGGUUCUAUGGAUCGUAAACCUCUUUUAUAAGGGAAUAAAGUGCGGGACGUGUCCCGUUUUGUAUGUACCUUAUGAAUAAGGAUCGGCUAACUCCGUGCCAGCAGCCGCGGUAAUACGGAGGAUCCGAGCGUUAUCCGGAUUUAUUGGGUUUAAAGGGUGCGUAGGCGGCCUUUUAAGUCAGCGGUGAAAGUCUGUGGCUCAACCAUAGAAUUGCCGUUGAAACUGGGGGGCUUGAGUAUGUUUGAGGCAGGCGGAAUGCGUGGUGUAGCGGUGAAAUGCAUAGAUAUCACGCAGAACCCCGAUUGCGAAGGCAGCCUGCCAAGCCAUGACUGACGCUGAUGCACGAAAGCGUGGGGAUCAAACAGGAUUAGAUACCCUGGUAGUCCACGCAGUAAACGAUGAUCACUAGCUGUUUGCGAUACACUGUAAGCGGCACAGCGAAAGCGUUAAGUGAUCCACCUGGGGAGUACGCCGGCAACGGUGAAACUCAAAGGAAUUGACGGGGGCCCGCACAAGCGGAGGAACAUGUGGUUUAAUUCGAUGAUACGCGAGGAACCUUACCCGGGUUUGAACGCAUUCGGACCGAGGUGGAAACACCUUUUCUAGCAAUAGCCGUUUGCGAGGUGCUGCAUGGUUGUCGUCAGCUCGUGCCGUGAGGUGUCGGCUUAAGUGCCAUAACGAGCGCAACCCUUGCCACUAGUUACUAACAGGUAAAGCUGAGGACUCUGGUGGGACUGCCAGCGUAAGCUGCGAGGAAGGCGGGGAUGACGUCAAAUCAGCACGGCCCUUACAUCCGGGGCGACACACGUGUUACAAUGGCGUGGACAAAGGGAAGCCACCUGGCGACAGGGAGCGAAUCCCCAAACCACGUCUCAGUUCGGAUCGGAGUCUGCAACCCGACUCCGUGAAGCUGGAUUCGCUAGUAAUCGCGCAUCAGCCAUGGCGCGGUGAAUACGUUCCCGGGCCUUGUACACACCGCCCGUCAAGCCAUGGGAGCCGGGGGUACCUGAAGUCCGUAACCGCGAGGAUCGGCCUAGGGUAAAACUGGUGACUGGGGCUAAGUCGUAACAAGGUAGCCGUACCGGAAGGUGCGGCUGGAACACCUCCUUU